rnacentral:lncRNA from 1 species
UGGAUCCUCUCACUACAGAGAUGCGGGAGCAAUGGUGGAAGGCUCAGCCGAGCACCACGGUCCCCCAGGGAUCUGGGGGCCCCAGAGACUUUCCCACUCAAGACACAGCCUAGAGGCAGCUGUCUGCCUGGUUUGCUGUUGACCGCUGCACCUAGCAUGGCACCUCCUGGGCAGAGAACAUUUUGCUGCAUAAAUGCAGGGAGGAGGAACACAAGAACAUUCUCGGUACAUACUCAUCGUACAUGAGCUGCUAAGGCACGCAGGGGGCCUGUGGGACGGGUUCCCGAUUCCCCUCUCUCCAGACAGAAAACCAAGGCACCAAACAGCUCGCUUGAGACUUGGGAGAAUGAAGGCUUGGUGCCCGGAAGCGCCAUCUCUCUCUUUCCGGCAGCUGCAGGGUGUUACCGGGGCAACAGACGGCUGUCUGACGGGAUUUGGCAGUUUAACUCUUAUUCCGCACAAAAUACGAAAGUGAGAACGAUUGAACAGAUGUUCUUGCUUCCGACCGUUCACGCAACGGAGAGGAGCUCAUGAUUCAUCUGGCCCGGGCCGAGUCCACAUCAUUCCUGUCUCACACCCAGCAGCAAUUACGAAGCUUGAGAACCAUGGGUCUAGAGCCUCACUACUCAAAGUGUGGUCUCGGAAGCAGAUACCGGCAACUUCCGGGAGCUGGUUAGCAACGCAGAGGCUGCACCCCUGCAUCUGCUGAGUCAGCCCGCAUUCCAACAAGAUCCCUGCGUAAUGGGUCUGCAUGACAGUGCGUGAUCCUCG